AUACGGAGGGUGCAAGCGUUACUCGGAAUCACUGGGCGUAAAGCGCGCGCAGGCGGUCUUUUAAGUUGGAUGUGAAAGCCUACGGCUCAACCGUAGAACUGCAUCCAAAACUAUUAGACUAGAGUGUGCGAGAGGAAGAUGGAAUUAGUUGUGUAGGGGUAAAAUCCGUAGAGAUAACUAGGAAUACCAAAAGCGAAGGCAAUCUUCUGGAACACUACUGACGCUGAGGCGCGAAAGCGUGGGGAGCAAACAGGAUUAGAAACCCUGGUAGUCC
rnacentral:rRNA from 1 species